rnacentral:rRNA from 1 species
AUUGAACGCUGGCGGCAUGCCUUACACAUGCAAGUCGAACGGCAGCACGGGAGCAAUCCUGGUGGCGAGUGGCGAACGGGUGAGUAAUAUAUCGGAACGUGCCCAGUCGUGGGGGAUAACGCAGCGAAAGCUGUGCUAAUACCGCAUACGAUCUAUGGAUGAAAGCGGGGGAUCGCAAGACCUCGCGCGAUUGGAGCGGCCGAUAUCAGAUUAGCUAGUUGGUGGGGUAAAGGCUCACCAAGGCGACGAGCUGUAGCUGGUCUGAGAGGACGACCAGCCACACUGGGACUGAGACACGGCCCAGACUCCUACGGGAGGCAGCAGUGGGGAAUUUUGGACAAUGGGCGCAAGCCUGAUCCAGCAAUGCCGCGUGCAGGAAGAAGGCCUUCGGGUUGUAAACUGCCUUUGUCAGGGAAGAAAUCUUCUGGGCUAAUACCCCGGGAGGAUGACGGUACCUGAAGAAUAAGCACCGGCUAACUACGUGCCAGCAGCCGCCGUAACAC